GUGUUCGUAGUGUAUUGGUCUCGCAUGCGACUCUGUGACAGUCGAGGCGAGGGGUUCGAUUCCCCCCGGACACC
rnacentral:tRNA from 1 species